UUCUCCUAUCCUGUUUCUUUCUCCUUCUCUCUUGUUUUCUUCCCCCUUCUUCUAUGUUUUCUUCCCUCUUCUUCUAUGUUUUCUUCUCCCUUCUUCUGUUGACCAAGAGAGCAAUCAACAACUUCUUCAACUCUGUAUUAUUCUUAACAAAUGUCAUCUAAAGAUCAUAAACAUCAACCAAACCCAUACCCAGGUGAGCAUAAGACGGAAAACAGAAGACCCACGAACGGAGAACGGCCGGGGAACGGAAAAUGGCGAACUUGCGAUGGAGGAAGACGAACAAAUGGCGAACUAGGGUUUAAUUUCAAUUUAAAGUUUUUUUAUUUUACAUUUGAACCAACCCGACCGAGUUCAAUUCGGUAAUGUUUGGUAACAAUACUGUUGAUGUCCAAUCCAACUCAAACCGAACCAAAUCGGGUCGGGUCGGUUCUUCGGGUUGUUCGAGUUUUUUCACCCCUAGUAAAUAUAUCAAUUGUGUAUCAA